UACGGGGGGGGCAAGCGUUGUUCGGAAUUACUGGGCGUAAAGGGCUCGUAGGCGGCCAACUAAGUCGGACGUGAAAUCCCCAGGCUCAACCUGGGAACUGCGUCCGAUACUGGAUGGCUUGAAUCCGGGAGAGGGAUGCAGAAUUCCAGGUGUAGCGGUGAAAUGCGUAGAUAUCUGGAGGAAUACCGGUGGCGAAGGCGGCAUCCUGGACCGGCAUUGACGCUGAGGAGCGAAAGCCAGGGGGGCAAACGGG
rnacentral:rRNA from 1 species